GACGUAGGGCGCGAGCGUUGUCCGGAUUUAUUGGGCGUAAAGGGCUCGUAGGCGGCCAACUAAGUCGGAUGUGAAAUCCCCAGGCUUAACCUGGGAAUUGCAUCCGAUACUGGAUGGCUUGAAUCCGGGAGAGGGAUGCGGAAUUCCAGGUGUAGCGGUGAAAUUCGUAGAUAUUGGGAAGAACACCGGUGGCGAAGGCGGCUCUCUGGACCGAGACUGACGCUGAGGCGCGAAAGCGUGGGGAGCAAACAGG
rnacentral:rRNA from 1 species